rnacentral:rRNA from 1 species
UGGGGAAUAUUGGACAAUGGGGGAAACCCUGAUCCAGCCAUGCCGCGUGAGUGAUGAAGGCCUUAGGGUUGUAAAGCUCUUUCGCUAGGGAAGAUAAUGACGGUACCUAGUAAAGAAGCCCCGGCUAACUUCGUGCCAGCAGCCGCGGUAAUACGAAGGGGGCUAGCGUUGUUCGGAAUUACUGGGCGUAAGGCGCGCGUAGGCGGGUGACCAAGUUGGGGGUGAAAGCCCGGGGCUCAACCUCGGAACGGCCUUCAAAACUGGUUAUCUAGAAUCCGGGAGAGGUAAGCGGAAUUCCUAGUGUAGAGGUGAAAUUCGUAGAUAUUAGGAAGAACACCAGUGGCGAAGGCGGCUUACUGGACCGGCAUUGACGCUGAGGUGCGAAAGCGUGGGGAGCGAACAGGAUUAGAUACCCCCGUAGUCC